rnacentral:lncRNA from 1 species
UCUGACAGUGGUAGCAAUAAACAGAGAAAGCACUGAACAGUGAAAGUAGGUCCUGCAGGUUGCUCCUUCCUGGGGAUUAUAGUGGCAGAGCCUGUGGGGAAGUUUACAGAGUGCCUGCUCAUGUCAUUCAAAUGGAAACAUUCCCUCUGGAUGACAGUCAUUUGAGUUGGAGUCAUGGUGUAGGAGCAGCCAGGGUUGCCAAAGAGGCAACUGUAGGGAGGAAAGGGCACGUAGGAGAAAAGGCAGGAUAAUACCUGAAAACACAAACAGAAUUAAAAGACUUUGGUUUUGGAGAAGGUGCUGCUAGACUGCUCCUUCUCCUCAGUCCUAUCUGAUUAGUAAUAAACGACGUGAUCUCUGGCCACAGCUGACAUACCACACGGUGGCUGCGUAGCUGCUACCAGCCAGGCCAGGCCGCCCUGCCCCCUCAGGGUGGAAACGCCCUCAGGGGCCUGUCCACAGCAGCCACCCUGUGGCUUCCCCCCCUCAGGAGGAGAACCAAGCUACUUAAAACCCUCAAAACUGCAGUUUUUGCCUCUUUCAUUCAGCAAAAAUUAUAGGCAGUUGCCGACGCUGCAGUGCCUGUACCUUCCCUUGUUUCAGAGAGGAGGUGGAGAGGGAAAAUUCUGUCCAGGCCUGGGAGCACAACUAGAAAGACAUUCCAAAACCGGCUGCAUGGUAUUUAGAGAUCUGGGUACCAGCUGUAACGUGCACAUAUUUGCAGAGACUUCUGUUCAGCUAAGAAUGGGCUGCGGACUCAGAGUCUUUGCUAUGAGAGGUUCUGACAAUGAUUUGGAGUUGUUAAUGUCAGAAAUGCUGUGUAGGAGGAAGUAUUACAUGUCAGUUUCCCAGAAGGGGAUGGCUGAGGUACAACGAUCAACACCUCUCCAAAAUCGCACAGUGUCUUUGAAGAAAAGGUCUUGAUGCUUAGUCCAAAACUCUGACGAGAAGAUACCAUGUGAAACACAGGAACUCGUCUGAAUUUUACACCCUUUGGGGAAGAGGGUGAGUGCAACAGCCACUCCCUGCUCUCAUGACUGGGCAUCACUGCGGAGGUGAUGCUUACAGCCCCUUUGACACCUCCAUCAACACAUCUGCACCUAAACUUUCUUGCAUGCUUUUACGUCUGUGCUGUGUCUGAAAAUGCAUAGCAAUGAUAUUUAAGGAAAUCCAAGGAACAGAUGUAAAUCAGCACAAUUUACUACGUCAUUAGUUCCCCAAGUGCUUUGGGCCGGCUCUGCUGACAAAAGAGGCAGUCCUGCCCUCUUCCUGCUCCCACGCUGUCCCCUCCCUUGCGCUGACACAACCAUGAGGUGAAAUGCAUUGGGAAAUGCAUCCAGUUCCAAUCUUACCCCAGCAAAAAGCCUGAAUGGCUGGGGAAGGGGAGAUUUGCUUCCAUUCAGGGUGUCGCCAGCAUGUGCCGGAUUAAAGUCCUUGUGGAAGCACCACAUCAGUGCAAUUCACUGGUCUUCCUGAGAGCCAGGAGCUUUGCUAGCUUGUCCCAGCAGCUCCUGGCUAAAAGAGAAUUGUGCUGCAGCUGGAAACUCAAUCAGGCGGCUCUCAAAGCGUUUCAUUCAUACGUGGUCCUCAGUCGGGUCUUAGUGCACCUUCACUACAGGCAGUGGUGCUUCAUAAGCCUGUCAACGCUGCCGUCAAACAAAGGCUCGUCUCAAGACUUUGUGUUGUGUAAAUAAACCUUGUGCCUAGCAGGGUGUCA